ACUACCCCUGUAUAGUGGCCAAAGACAGCAAGGGCUUCCGCGCCGGGGUAACUUAGCGCAAAAGCUUAAUGCAGAGCUUAAAAAUCUUGCCGAGGUAAACCUUAAUUCGUAUAUUUUGUGGUUUAUAACUCACCGUCUCUUGGUGGGUUUCUUUUUUCGGCGAA
rfam:Candidate division WWE3 bacterium RAAC2_WWE3_1 chromosome, complete genome.